rnacentral:rRNA from 1 species
GUCAGGUAGUAAGGGCGCAGGGCGGAUGCCUUGGCUCUGGGAAGCGAAGAAGGACGUGGCCAGCUGCGAUAAGCCUCGGGGAAGAGCAAACAUCUUUUGAUCCGGGGAUUUCCGAAUGGGGUAACCCGCAUGGCUGUUGAGGCCAUGCACUGUUGAGUGAAUACAUAGCUCAUCAGGGCGAACUUGGGGAACUGAAACAUCUCAGUACCCAAAGGAAUAGAAAUCAACCGAGAUUCUGCUAGUAGCGGCGAGCGAACGCGGAAGAGCCCAAACCACCGGGUACGCCCGGUGGGGUUGUAGGGCCGCCAACAAAGGAUAAUUGGAGGAUUAGCUGAAGUGUCUGGGAAGGCACGGCAUAGAGGGUUAGACCCCCGUAAGCGAAAGUCUGAAGAUGUCCGAGGCGGUACCUGAGUAGGACGGGACACGAGAAAUCCUGUUUGAAUCCGGGGGGACCACCCUCCAAGGCUAAAUAUUACCUGGAGACCGAUAGUGUACCAGUACCGUGAGGGAAAGGUGAAAAGCACCUCGAGCAGAGGAGUGAAAUAGUUCCUGAAACCCUGUGUCUACAAGCAGUGGAAGCAUUACUGAUCUUCGGAUCAUGUGCGACCGCGUGCCUUUUGCAUAAUGAGCCAACGAGUUGUCUGUCGGUGGCAGGUUAAGUUUGUAACGAAGCCACAGCGAAAGCGAGUCUGAAGUGGGCGUCCGUCAUCGGCAACAGACCCGAAACCGAGUGAUCUACCCCUGUCCAGGUUGAAGCCUGGGUAAGACCAGGUGGAGGACCGAACCGUUGAGCCUUAAAACGUUCUCGGAUGAGGUGGGGGUAGGAGUGAAAGGCUAAUCAAACUCGGAGAUAGCUGGUUCUCCCCGAAAUAUAUUGAGGUAUAGCCUCGUGAUAGACCGCCGGAGGUAGAGCACUGGAUGGACUAGGGCCCCCACCAGGGUACCAAACCCAACCAAACUGCGAAUGCCGGCGAGUUGUUUCACGGGAGUCAGACGGCGGGAGCUAACUUCCGUCGUCGAAAGGGAAACAACCCUAACCAUCAGCUAAGGCCCCCAAGUCGUGACUAAGUGGGAAAGGAAGUGGGAGCGCCCAGACAGCCAGGAGGUUGGCUUAGAAGCAGCCACCCUUUAAAGAAAGCGUAACAGCUCACUGGUCGAGCGAGCCUGCACCGAAAAUUUAACGGGGCUCAAGUCAUGCGCCGAAGCUGUGGGAUUUGUAUUUAUACAAAUCGGUAGGGGAGCGUUCCCUGUGCGGUGAAGCUGAAUCGAAAGGGUCAGUGGAGCGCAGGGAAGUGAGGAUGUUGGCAUAAGUAACGAAAAUGCGAGCGAGAAACUCGCACGCCGAAAGCCCAAGGUUUCCCGGGCCAUGUUAUUCAGCCCGGGGUUAGUCGGCACCUAAGACGAGGCCGAAAGGCGUAGUCGAUGGCAAACCGGUUCAUAUUCCGGUACUUGCACGUGCGCGUGAUGGAGGGACGCAGGAGGAUAGACCGUCCGGGUGAUGGAUAUCCCGGUUCAAGGCAUUAGGCGGAAGUUCCAGGCAAAUCCGGGACUUCAUUCAACGCCGAGAGCUGAUGACGAGAGGCUUUGCUUCGCAAAGCGGUCGAUUCCACACUGCCAAGAAAAGCUUCUAAGCAUAGCACGGGCGAACCGUACCCCAAACCGACACAGGUGGGUGGGUAGAGAAUACCAAGGCGCUUGAGGGAAAUCAUGUUAAGGAACUCUGCAAAUUGACUCCGUAACUUCGGAAGAAGGAGUGCCUGCAGCGGUGAAGGGACUUGCUCCCUAAGCUUCAGCAGGCCGCAGUGACCAGGCCCAGCCGACUGUUUAGCAAAAACACAGCACUCUGCUAAAUCGCAAGAUGAUGUAUAGGGUGUGACGCCUGCCCGGUGCCGGAAGGUUAAGGGGAGGGGUUAGGUCUUCGGACCAAAGCUCCAAACUGAAGCCCCGGUAAACGGCGGCCGUAACUAUAACGGUCCUAAGGUAGCGAAAUUCCUUGUCGGGUAAGUUCCGA